GACGAACGCUGGCGGCGUGCUUAACACAUGCAAGUCGAACGGAAAGGCCCUGCUUUUGUGGGGUGCUCGAGUGGCGAACGGGUGAGUAACACGUGAGUAACCUGCCCUUGACUUUGGGAUAACUUCAGGAAACUGGGGCUAAUACCGGAUAGGAGCUCCUGCUGCAUGGUGGGGGUUGGAAAGUUUCGGCGGUUGGGGAUGGACUCGCGGCUUAUCAGCUUGUUGGUGGGGUAGUGGCUUACCAAGGCUUUGACGGGUAGCCGGCCUGAGAGGGUGACCGGCCACAGUAGGAUUGAUAUACGGCCCAGACUUCUACGGGGGGGAGUAGUGGGGAAUAUUGCACAAUGGGCGGAAGCCUGAUGCAGCAACGUCGCGUGCGGGAUGACGGCCUUCGAGUUGUAAACCGCUUUCACCUGUGACGAUGCGUGAGUGACGGUAAUGGGUAAAGAAUCACCGGCUAACUACGUG
rnacentral:rRNA from 1 species